rnacentral:rRNA from 1 species
UGGGGAAUAUUGCACAAUGGGCGAAAGCCUGAUGCAGCGACGCCGCGUGAGGGAUGACGGCCUUCGGGUUGUAAACCUCUUUCAGCAGGGACGAAGCGCAAGUGACGGUACCUGCAGAAGAAGCACCGGCUAACUACGUGCCAGCAGCCGCGGUAAUACGUAGGGUGCAAGCGUUGUCCGGAAUUACUGGGCGUAAAGAGUUCGUAGGCGGUUUGUCGCGUCGUUUGUGAAAACCAGCAGCUCAACUGCUGGCUUGCAGGCGAUACGGGCAGACUUGAGUACUGCAGGGGGGACUGGAAUUCCUGGUGUAGCGGUGAAAUGCGCAGAUAUCAGGAGGAACACCGGUGGCGAAGGCGGGUCUCUGGGCAGUAACUGAAGCUGAGGAACGAAAGCGUGGGUAGCGAACAGG